rnacentral:lncRNA from 1 species
GGGUCGUCACAGUUGGUAUCAGAGCCAAUUACCAGCCGAAAGUGUGAGAUGAGUCUCGGCUGAGCCAGGGUCUGGAUGACAGGCUAGCGAGACGAGUCUCACAUCGCCUGGUACUUGUGAGUCUGAGCCUGACGAGAACGUCAGGGCUUAAAGGAGGGGAGAUUGUGAGACCCCAGAUAGUCCUAUAUAUAAGAUAUAAUAAUAGGGCUAAACUCUUAACCCG